rnacentral:ncRNA from 1 species
CUGGUAGAGGCGCGGGGUCUCAGGAGUAACGCGAAGGACGUCCGGAAAGGCGCGCGGGAAAGGGAGCCCUGCCGAAAUCCGUUUUUCUUUUCCGGGGAGAGCGGGUUGGGACGGAGGAGAACAUCUUCCGUACUGUCACAGAAAUGUGGAGCGCUAUCGU